ensembl:lncRNA
AACAGGAUCUCACCCUGUUGCUCAGGCAAGCUUUACACUCUUGGACUGAAGGGAUCCUCCUGCCUUGGCCUCGGGGGGUAGCGCACCCAACCCUGCCUGGCCCUUUUCUCUUAACCUGUGAGGAGCAUAGGAAAGGCGUGUCACACUGUGCUAAGUUUGAAGUGCAUCUCUAAUCAUGCUUUGAAGUUGUAAUUAGCGUGGCAGUCUUUACUAAGUUAUAGGUGUCACAAGCCGCUUGCUGUUUGAAUCAGGCACCCAGAAAGUGUAACGCACUAGGACCUAAUGGUCUCUUCUACAACAACCAGCACCACCUGCAGACCUAGAAGUGAUGUUUACAUCUCCAAGAGCGGUUGAAACAUACUGUUUUCCAAGCUGCAGGACUCUGCCCCAGCUGCACCCUGCACCUCUCUGCAGCCCUGGCUCCAGUGCCCUCGCUUCCCCAUGGCUCCAUCUUCAGAUCCUCUCCAUGACACGGUGGGACCACCUUUCAAAACAGAGAAGUGUUGUAAGAUGACCUCUGAGGACAGCAAUGACAUGUGACCCUCCCGGGGUCACAGUCCUGAAGAAAGCAGCCCCCUGGCCAGCAAGACACCCCCUUACCUGAUCACCUUCCCCAUCCACACCCCUCCAGCCCCCUCCAUAGGGCUCCUAGUCCUCUCCACUCUUGCAUAGCCAUGUCCUGCAGUGUGCAUGUCACCCUGCACUGCGGCUCCCUCUGGGUUUGCAAUCCAGGUGUCCUGUCGCUCCGCCUCCUUCUCUGGCUGCUCUACCGGAAGUGGUCCUUGCCACCACCCCACCACUGUCACACCCAGACUUCACAACGCUUGCCCUGUCUUGUGGCAUCUCCGUGGUUCGUGCUGGUGCCAAGCACUUCCACUUGCCAGCAUCAUAGGCCAGCAAGUCAGCCACCCUUCCCUGUUCAUCCCCAACGAUUUGGGUGCCAGAUAUCUAAGGCCUGGCCUGGUCAUUGGAAAGGUCACCAAGAGGUAAACUCCUCUUCCAGUGGCGGGCAAAGUCCCCUGUGCACCGCCAGACCUCGCUGCCUCCCUGUACUGAGUCCCUCUCAGCCUGACCUGGGAGCACCCGCUGCAAACUCCCUACUCCCCACCUCUGAAUGUCCUGGGGAAGCUCUGGCUCCAUGCCGUCUGUGACUGCAGUCCUGGGACAGAGGAACCAGACAGAGGCCAGCUGGUGGUUGGCGGUCGGCACGAGAACAUUCACAGUCCAGGAAGGCCGCAGAGAGCUCUCUGUCGGGUGCCGACAGUGGGGUUGUCGCACAGGGAAGGUGUCUCAGAACUGACAGGCAGGACCUGGGGAUGGGUGGUCCCUAGGUCGGGCCAUUAGGAAGGGCCGAAGUCCGGGCGACUAGAACCAUGUGUGGUAUCCAGUGGCUCUGGCGGCAGGAGGCCCACGAUCAAGGCACCAGCAGGUGACUUCUCCCGAGGCUGCUGUCUAUGGCUGUGGAGGGCCCUCUCUGUCCCCGCUCCUCCCUGGCCUUUGUCCACAGCCCCACACCUCUCUCAGAAGCAGCCCAGGACCCGUGCUUACAAGGUCACCGAAUCCUAAUUACCUCCAUGGAGCCUCUGACCCCAGGACAGUCCUACUGGGGUCAGAGGAACACGGACAACAUAAGUCAUUUUCCAGGAUGUACACAGCUCCUGGGAGCGAGGACGGGUUUCGAACCUGUGUAGUCUGGCUCCAGAGCCUCAGCUGCUAAGCUGCACCGCCCCACUUGGAUUUAUCUUGUUUUGUUGUCUUCGCUGCGCAGCAGAGCCCCUCGGACCCAUGGAAGACAGGAGCUCAGCCCCAGCCGCUUCUGUCUGCUCUGCAUCCUCUUCUGAGCCAAAGCGGUCACGGACCUGGGCAAUCGCCACGGCCGCAGGUCCUGCUCCCCCGGAACCCGAGACCCUGCACAACUGCAGUCGCCAUGCAGCUGUGCUGCCCCCACUGCCAGGCCCCGUCCUUCCGAAUCCCUUCCAGCCGGACUCCGAGGCCCUGGUAGGACCCUCUUCCGGCACCUGGCCCGUGAGAGCCCAGGACGCUGUGCGCUUGUCCUGCUCCGGGCCUCCUCCGCUGUGCUCCUGCCCCUCCCUGCCGAGCCCUCGCUGCCCUGCCCUUGACGACCUUGAGGCUUCAUCCCGGCCUCUUCUCCCGUCUCCUCCAGAGGCUUCCCUGACCACGCCACGCAGCGCAGGCUCGGGACCCACCCGGCAGACCCUCAUCUUUUACCUUCGUUUUAG